CUUUUUUCUUACUUCUUUUCAUCAACAGAACACCAUUUUGUGACUGUACCAACUAUGGUC
rnacentral:tRNA from 1 species